UUUGAGAAUUUUAUCUAAAAUAUAAAACCUAUUGAUCAAAAAAUCUAAUAAAAUAUUCAUCUAUCCACAAAAAUUCUUGUUAUCGUAGUUUCUAAAUCACAAUCCCCAAUCUACAAUAUUUCUAAAAAAAUGAAAACUUUCUUAAAAUAGAAUUUUUGAGAAUUAUUUUUAAAAAAAUACAACUAUUGAUCAAAAAAUCUAAAAGAAUACUCAUCUAUAAACAAAAAAAUUCUUGUUAUCCUAAUUUCUAAAUCAAAACUCCAAAUCCACACUAUUACUCACAAAAAUGAAAACUUUCCUAAAACAGAACUUUUGAGAAUUUUAUCUAAAAUAUAAAACCUAUUGAUCAAAAAAUUAAAAAAAAAAUACUCAUUUAUCCGCAAAAGAUCUUGUUUUCCUAGUUUCUAAAUCACAACCCCCAAUCUACAAUAAUUCUAUAAAAAAUGAAAAAUUUCCUAAAAUAGAAUUUUUGAGAAUUAUUUUCAAAAAUACAACUAUUGAUCAAAAAAUCUAAAACAAAUUCUCAUCUAUAAACAAAAAAAUUCUUGUUAUCCUAAUUUCUAAAUCAAAACCCCAAAUCCACACCAUUACUCACAAAAAUGAAAACUUUCCUAAAAUAGAAUUUUUGAGAAUUUUAUCAAAAAUAUAAAAUCUAUUGAUAAAAAAAAAACAAAAAACAAUACUUAUCUAUCCGCAAAAGUUCUUGUUUUCCUAGUUUAUAAACCACAACCCCCAAUCUACAAUAAUUCUAUAGAAAAUGAAAACUUUCCAAAAAUAGAAUUUUUGAGAAUUAUUUUUUAAAAAAAUACAACUAUUGAUAAAAAAAUCUAAAAGAAAUUCUCAUCUAUAAACAAAAAAAUUCUUGUUAUCCUAAUUUCUAAAUAAAAACCCCAAAUCCACACUAUUAUUCACAAAAAUGAAAAUUUUCCUAAAAGAGAAUUUUUGAGAAUUUUAUCUAAAAUAUAAAACCUAUUGAUCAAAAAAUCUAAAAAAAAUACUCAUCUAUCCACAAAAAUUCUUGUUAUCCUAGUUUCUAAAUCACAACCCCCAAUUUACACUAUUUCUAUAAAAAAUGAAAACUUUCCUAAAAUAGAAUUUUUGAGAAUUUUAUCUAAAAUAUACAACCUGUUGAUCAAAAAAUCUAAAAGAAUACUCAUCUAUAAACAAAAAAAAUUCUUGUUAUCCUAAUUUCUAAAUCAAAACCCCAAAUUAACACUAUUAUUCACAAAAAUGAAAACUUUCCUAAAAUAGAAUUUUUGAGAAUUUUAUCUAAAAUAUACAACCUGUUGAUCAAAAAAUCUAAAAGAAUACUCAUCUAUCUACAAAAAUUCUUGUUAUCCUAAUUUAUAAAUCACAGCCUCAAAUCUAUAAUAUUUCUCUAUAAAAAUGAAAACUUUCCUAAAAUAGAAUUUUUGAGAAUUUUAUCUAAAAUAUAAAAAUUACUGAUCAAAAAAAAAAAUACUCAUCUAU
rnacentral:lncRNA from 1 species